rnacentral:rRNA from 1 species
CCCUGCCAUUUGUACACACCGCCCGUCGCUACUACCGAUUGAAUGGCUUAGUGAGGCCUUUGGAUCUGCCUGGUACUUGUACCUGGUGUGAGAAAUUGGACAAACUUGGUCAUUUAGAGGAAGUAAAA